AAACAAUUCUGCACAGCGGCGGAGCCGGAGGCACCUCUACGGCGACUUGUCCGAUCAAAAUCAGCUUUCUCUAGUUACAUAAGCACUGUGUGAGAUGGCAGGAAGAAAUCGCGUUCCUCGGGAAGCAUUUGAUAACCGCCGGGGCUUUCCUGCAGAAGGGCAUAUUGCCCGGGGUCCUAUGCCUCGACCCUCUCUCCAUCCUGCGUUGUUAGAAGAGGAACUUGAAAUACAACAUCUUGAGAUACGCAGACUUCUGGGUGAAAACAGGAGAUUAGUUGAAGAUCGAAUAGCUCUCCAACGGGAAUCAGCUGCUGCAAAGGAGGAGGUUUAUCGAAUGAACCUUGCCAUAGGUGAUAUGCAAGCGGAGCAUGAAAUUCGCUCCAGGGAACUUAUCGAAAGAGGUUUAAAGCUUGAAGGAGAUCUUCGAGCUACAGAACCUCUGAAAAAUGAGGCUAAACAGCUCCAUGUUGAAGUUCAGAAGCUAAAUAUUAUGAAGCAGGAUCUAACUGGCCAGGUGCAGACCCUCACCAAGGACCUUGCCAAGCUACAAGCUGAUAUCCAACAGAUUCCUCAUUUCAGGGGUGAGAUUGAUGGGCUUCAUCAAGAGCUUUUGCGCGCUAGGUCUGCCAUUGAGUAUGAAAAGAAGGCAAAAAUUGAACUCAUGGAUCAGAGACAGGCAAUGGAGACAAAUUUGGUUACUAUGGCACGUGAAGUUGAGAAGCUACGAGCCGAGCUUUCUAAUUCUGAUGGUAGAGCAUGGGCUGCAGGUGGAUCAUAUGGGAUGAGAUAUGGAAGACAUGAUGCAAGUUUCCCUGCACCUUAUGGCGAGGGAUA
rnacentral:misc_RNA from 1 species